CCUACGGGCGGCAGCAGUAGGGAAUCUUUCACAAUGGGCGAAAGCCUGAUGGAGCAACGCCGCGUGCAGGAUGAUGGCCUUCGGGUUGUAAACUGCUUUUAUAAGCGAGAAAUAUGAUGGUAACUUAUGAAUAAGGAUCGGCUAACUACGUGCCAGCAGCCGCGGUCAUACGUAGGAUCCGAGCAUUAUCCGGCGUGACUGGGUGUAAAGAGUUGCGUAUGUGGCAUAAUAAGUAGCUAGUGAAAUCUGGUGGCUCAACCAUUCAGACUAUUAGCUAAACUGUUAAGCUCGAGAGCGUUAGGGGUAACUGGAAUUUCUAGUGUAGGAGUGAAAUCCGUAGAUAUUAGAAGGAACACCAAUAGCGUAGGCAGGUUACUGGGACGGUUCUGACACUAAGGCACGAAAGCGUAGGGAGCAAACGGGAUUAGAUACCCCGGUAGUC
rnacentral:rRNA from 1 species